rnacentral:lncRNA from 1 species
UCCCCGCCUCAUCCCAGCCCCCUGGUUGACAGUCGCCUCAGAGAAGCCCUGGAACAGGCUGAAGACACAUCUAACAAAAAGGACACAGCACAGACAGACGCACACCACCACGGGACAUAACCCGACGACAGCAGACAAAGAGAGGCCGUACUCGGUCUUUGCUGGUGCAGGCGAAACAGAGCUGUCUGCAGUGGAAGGGGCAAGCUCAGGGGCUUGUCCACUGGCCCCAGCGGUGGGAGCAGGAGAGCCCAGGGCUGCAAAAACAUCCUUUGCAAGGUCAAUAUCUGGGGUCUUGAAGUUCCCUUCGUCCAUUUUAAAGUCCUCGCCCUGGGCAGGGUUUGUGGCGCUGACGGAGGCAGCCUCGCUCUUCGGGCUAGUGAGGCCCGUGGCUGCUGCCUCGGUCGGGCUCUUCACGGCGCCGGGCUGGGUGGGCUCGGGGUCCGGGCCUUUGGUGCUGGGGGCCUCCUGCUUGGCCUGCGGGGCUGCCGUGGCAGGGGCGGCCGCUGCCGCUAGGGGACUGGUUGCCCCGGCCGCGGUGGGGCUCGGCUUGCUCGCGGGAGGGGCCUUGGAGGCCUCCCCCGAGCUGGCAGGGGCGCUGGGGCUGAGCACAGCCCCCUGGUGAGCCAGGACACUAGAAGACAAACUGCCAGCAGCAGGGGCUGAGGCCGGGGUGUCGCUCAGGUCAACGAGGGGGGCAACCUUGGGGGCCGAAGCUGGGGGAGGGGAGGAGGCGGUGGCGCCGGGCCCCUUGGAAGGGGUGGCCUGGCCAGUGGGCACAGAGUUUGAGUCAGGCGUGGCCGUGGCCGGGGGGGCAAUACUGGAGGUCAGGGUGGUGGUCUCACUGGUGGGGCUGUUCUGAGCAGUGGCAAAGGUUUCGGUGAUAGUGUCAGAGUUAGCGGUGACGGUGGUGACAGAAGGCAGCAUGUCCUCGACAGUGGCUGUGGUGUCGGCCGGCAGCCUGUGGGGAGGACAGGAAGUAGAAGAGAAUAGACAAUGAAGCUGGGACGAGACAGAGAAGCGGGCUUGGGGAAGGGGGGCCGCAGCCAAGGAGGGGGUCGUGGGCAGGGCAUGCAGUGACGCACAGGCACGGACACAGGCCCACAGAGAAACGAGGACAGCAAGAGGAAGCACACGCCCAGGCGGGCAGAAGAGGAGACAGGAGACACAGACCUGCUGGCCCUUCCUCCCUGCUGAUGCCCCUCCAGCUCUCUACGCUGCGCUGCCUCUCCCUGCAGCCCUGUCUGACCCCUGCCUGCACCCCAACUCCAGGAGAGGCGACCCUCAGUUCGCCGUCCGCCACUGCUGGCGUCAAGGACCCCGAGGAAUGGGCCCUGCUGUCCUAGGGGCUCCACGGGAACUGAUGGGGAAGGUCGGGAAUAUGGCAGACAAAGAGUGCUCCCAAGGCCCCUAGCAGUCGCGGGUUGUCCAGCCAGAGAUUUAAACUAAAUCCGCGCUCAACUCCACUCCCUUCAAAGCCCCAGCACUCACGACAGCCAGCCUUCGUGACCGCCUCGGCCAGACGCGGUUUCUGACUGAGGGUCCCCCAGCCUUCUGAGAACAGAAGGGUCAGGGAGCUCCACGCGCCCCACCUCCUCUCACCCUUCCAGGAAGAGCGCAGAAAACCCUAGAGCUCUUGAAAAUCCUACACAGAAUCUGCUGAGCCUCUCAAAGCUCAGAGCCUCUCUCAGUGCGGUUGUGUCCCCUUCGGCCACUUCCAGAAUGUGCGUGUGACUCGGGCAUAGGGUCUAGAGAUCCCACUCACCCCUGGAACCCUUUCAGAGCAUCUGCAGGCUCUUCACAGAACCAGGAAUGCCUUCUCUCUAGGGAGAGAGUGGGCUCAGGCAUUUCUGGCCAAGGGCUCCAGAAUCUGGGCCGCAUUGUUGGGCUGGGAGUGGUGGGUGGGAGGUAUGGGAGGCGAGGCAUGGGUGAGGCGAUGAGGUGAGUGUGGGGCUCUGCGGCCAAAGUGCCGCCCCUCCCCACCCACGUACUCGGGCUCCGUCAGCGGGGUGGUCUCGUUGGGCUCCGUGUGUUUCCCUCCAUCGUGGUUUGGGGUCCGCUCCUCCUCGGUCCGCACUUCCACAAUGGGUUCCUUGGACUCAUCUUUCCUGUGGAGAGAGUUUUGCUGGUUCGAUCCCGGCCUGCUGGGGCAGGAAGGGGGCUCCCGGGGAAGCCGGCUACAGCUCAGGGCUCCUGGGUUUGGCCCAAAGUUGAUGUGGGGGCGUGGGCAUCUCAAGCCCAAGGGCCCGAGCCUCAGCUCCCACUCGUGCUAGCUGUGUGACCGUGAACAUUGGAUUCGCUCGCUUUGGCUUCUGUCCCCUCAUCUGUAAAAUGGGGCAGGCAACAGUCUCGACCUUGCCUGGCUGUUGGAAACAUUAACUGAGACAAUGAAUGUCAAGUGCUUAGCACAGUGCCUGGCACAGAGAAGUGCUCAGAUAAUCUGUAUUUACAUACAGUGCCUGCCCUGUGGUGGCACUCACAGCUUACUCCCUGCUCUGCCUCUCAUCACCUCACUCCAGCUCAGGUCCGCCCAGCGAGUCUGUGAAGCCUCUUGCUCAUUGGCUCAGGACCCGUUUUUCCAGAGAUGCUGGAGGGGACAGCAUCUGGAUGGUCAGCUCCAAAGGGACAGGAAGUUUUACCUGUUCUGUUCGCAGGUGUAACCUAGUGUCUGGGAACAGAGCCUGGCCCUGUUUUAGCUGCUCAGUAACUAUCUGUUGAGUGAUAUAUGAAUGGCUGAAUGAAUGAAGACAUGAACGAAUGGCAGCGAGGCAAGUGUGUGUCUCCAAUGCUACGGCAGAUCCCCUCCAAGUUUAUUUAGCUCUGAAAAUUCCCCUCAGUUUGGCCUAUGCAGGGAUUUUCAACCUUCUCUGAAAUUCUAAUACGUUACAUGUGGGGUUGGGCCCAAGUGUUAGCUUUUCAAACAGGAAUCCCGAAAGACUGUGUUUUAGGAAACAUUUCUCCAAUGCUUUUUUUCCACCUUUGGGGUUUCCAAAUGGGGAAACUGAGAUGGUUCUGAUGCUAAGCCCCCCGGCCCAGGGCAGAGCCUAGACCCUAGCAGUGGCAAUUAGGUCUGCACUCACGAGAAGGCGGCUUUGCCCUCCUCCAUGUCCUUGCCCUUGGCUCCGGGCCCAGCCUUUCCGCACAGGUUGACGGCAAUGCACAUGAGCAGCCCACACUUGUUCAGGAAGUAGCAGGUGAUGUCCACCACCACCAGUAGCAGGACAAAGAUGACGAUGAGGAUGCCCACAAUGGCCCCAGUGCUCAGGCCUGAUGUAGGGCUGCCGUUGGCUUGAGUGGGAGGGAGGGAGGGAGAGAGAGAGAGAGAGAGAUGGCUGGUGGUUAAUACACUGACGUGCAGACUGCUGGACCCUGCAGAGCAACAGCCCUUGGGGGUGGGGUAGCACCUAUAGGACAAAGUCGUGGCAUUUGUGUCAAGAGUGGCACCUUCCGUGGGGCCUUUCUACACCCUGGUGCGGAGACAACAGAGUCUCUCUGUAUCUUCAAGAGGGCGGGAUGGCAGCCUUACCUCACAGACCAGGGGGUAGGGGCAUGAGGCUCCCACAAGUCGGGAGGAGUGGGCACC